rnacentral:rRNA from 1 species
UACGGGGGGGGCAAGCGUUGUUCGGAAUUACUGGGCGUAAAGGGCUCGUAGGCGGCCAACUAAGUCAGACGUGAAAUCCCUCGGCUUAACCGGGGAACUGCGUCUGAUACUGGAUGGCUUGAGUUUGGGAGAGGGAUGCGGAAUUCCAGGUGUAGCGGUGAAAUGCGUAGAUAUCUGGAGGAACACCGGUGGCGAAGGCGGCAUCCUGGACCAACACUGACGCUGAUGCGCGAAAGCCAGGGGAGCGAACGGG